UCCAGGUCCAGCCGCGGCGGGAACGCGAUCGCGAGUGGGCGCGGUCUCCCCGCGUUUGCGCAGGUUUGAGGGCGCGAGGUAGAGCCGGUAUGAAACCCAGAGCCGACCCGCCGUAGACCCCCAAGGUCCUGCGGGACCUUGCUGAUUGCAAACCGGAAUCACUGCAUGUGCGACCUUGAACAGGAAGAAUGCACCUUUCUCUGCCAUCGAGGUACACGCGUUCACUUCUCCUUCACCGUGUCUUCCCAGAAGACUUUCAGGAUCAUGAGGUACCUGGCCAAGAAACAAAAGCAGAAUCGGCCCAUUCCCCAGUGGAUUUGGAUGAAAACUGGUGAUAAAAUCAGGUACAACUCGAAGAGGAGACAUUGGAGAAGAACCAAACUGGACCAAUGAGAAAUCACACA